rnacentral:rRNA from 1 species
UACGGGGGGGGCGAGCGUUGUUCGGAAUUACUGGGCGUAAAGGGUGCGUAGGCGGCUUUCUAAGUCGGAUGUGAAAGCCCCGGGCUCAACCUGGGAACUGCAUUCGAUACUGAUCGGCUAGAGUAUGAGAGAGGGAGGUAGAAUUCCACGUGUAGCAGUGAAAUGCGUAGAGAUGUGGAGGAAUACCGAUGGCGAAGGCAGCCCCCUGGGCCAAUACUGACGCUCAUGCACGAAAGCGUGGGGAGCAAACAGG